UGAGAAAUUUUUCUCAAGGAUGGAAGAUUCUGGUAGCCAUUUUUCUGUUGGGAUUAAGCUUUCCAUACUCACAAGGUUAUAAUGUCAAAUCUAAAGUCUUUUUGUCACCUAAGUUUGUGCUGGGGCCAGGAUCCGUUGAGAAUAAAUUUUACUAUGGGAUUGACUUUCCGAGAGGUCAUAUUGCUCUAAAGAGUUUUAAUGCAGAAGUAAUUGAUGAGGCAGGAAAUCCCGUUCCUCUUCACGAGACUUAUCUCCACCAUUGGGUCGUUGAAAGAUACUAUGGACGUAAAGAUGCAGAAGUACUGGAGUAUAAUGGCAACAGACUUCUUCGUGAAUCAGAUUACAUUGCAGCGAGAAAUGAUGGCAUAUGCCAGAGGAAUUCUCUUGGGCAGUUUUUUGGCCUUGGCUCUGAGACACGAGGAACAGCAACGCAUAUUCCAGAUCCUUAUGGUAUAGAAAUUGGCAAUCCUGCUACAUUUCCUGCAGGCUAUGAAGAGAGAUGGCUUCUUAAUGUCCAUGCAAUUGAUACACGAGGUGUCGAAGAUAGGUUGGGAUGCACCGAAUGCAAGUGCGAUUUGUACAAUGUUACAGUGGAUGAGUAUGGCCAGCCGCUAAAGCCAAAUUACAGAGGUGGUUUAGCGUGUUGUUACGAUGGUACGCAGUGUAGAUUGUCAAACGGUUUUGAAGGUGCCAGGAGGAGCCUCUAUUUGAGAUAUACCGUAAAGUGGGUUGAUUGGGACACUUCCAUUGUGCCUGUUAAAAUCUACAUAUUUGAUGUCACUGACAAGGAAACACGGUUUAGUGAUUCCACUGGAUUCAGCAUACAGCAUCAUUGCCAGGUAAGUGAAACUCUUUUUACAAAACUCUCCAAGCUGAAACAGAAAUGAAUUUUAUUUGGGACGUUCAGUGGAAUAGCCUCGCAUUACUUUCUUCAUCUUUUACGGUUCAUUGAACUAGGUUGUUAUAUAAUCAUUUAAUGCUUGUUUUGGUGCAUUACUGGAAAAAUGGAAUUGAUUCAUUGAUGCAAUGAACACAAAGUUGGAGUCUGCAUAAAGCUAAGCGUAAUUUACUGGAAAAAAUUCUGUGGGCUUAGAGUCCUCUUUAAUGGCAUACUGUUUAAUAUGUGUGUAUGAAAUGACUUGCGUUGAAGAUAUUUUUUGUUUAAUGUGGAGGAGUUUUUAUUAAAUGUGCAUAAAUUUAUAGACAUUCAAAAGCACAUAAGCACCAACACUUACUUCAGCCCCUAAAUUGAUAAUCAAUAGUGAAUACGUUUUGAUUUAUGACUUUCUUGCAACUUUUAGUGACUUAAUUUCUUCACAAAUGUUGACCCAUUGGAAUAUCUGUGAUUGCAGGUUGAAUAUUAUGUUGAGCCCUGUAAAGCCAAUGAUGUGGCUGAUAAUGGGUGUGUCCACACCAAAAGGACCAGUGUCACGAUGCCAACCAGUGGUUACAUCAUCUAUGGCGUUGCCCAUCAGCACUCAGGGGGCAUUGGUGCAGCUCUAUACAGAAAGGUGAUUUCAAUAUCUAAUUUGCAUUCACGUGGCAUGCCUUUUCUUUUGUCUAUGUUCUACUUUCCAUUGUAAUUUUAUCAUUCUUAUCUGCUAGGUUGGUGGUAAACUGGUGAUAUAUGAAGACGUGUACUAGUUCUUGAUCUUUUUAAUUUUCUUGUUAGAUUAUGCUUUGAAAGUUAUUGUUUCUUUAGUCUGCAAAAGAAUUGUCAGAAUUUUUUAAGAUUAUGUAAAUGUUUACAACAUUAAUUAGAUGUUGAGGACAUGUGAGUGUGACAUUAUCAUAUUUCCAAAGUAGACUAUUUUUUAGCUUCUAGCUGCUUGAUUUGUUUGUCAUCCUCAAAGUUUGGAUAACAUUGAUAUUUUAUAUAUAGUGUUAUGGUCCCUGAAAUUGGUUGGAUGUUUUCCCUUUUUCUUUUGAAGAACAAUUCUUCAUUAUUCAUUUUAUGUAAUUUUUUCAGAACCCAGUGUGAUGAUUGUGGAAGGAAUUUGAUUCCCAAUGUCUUCUUCAUUGAUAUGCUUGUUUUUGGUGAAACCAGGAUGGACAACUUAUGUGUUCUUCAAUUCCAGCUUAUGGAAAUGGGAAGGAAGCUGGAAACGAGGCUGGAUAUAUUGUAGGAAUGUCGACUUGUUAUCCUAAACCAGGCUUCCUCAGGAUAACAGAUAAGGAAACUCUGAUUGUGGAAUCUAACUACAGUAGCUCCCACGAUCACACAGGAGUUAUGGGGCUUUUCUACAUUUUGGUUGCAGACAGGGUGCCCGAGUCCAGUUCAUUCUUAGAUGUUUUCAACAAGGUAAGAUUCCCUUUUCAUAUUUUUAGAUAGUGAGUUCAGCAAUACAAUUUAUUAUGCUUGUGAGCACAUGCGAAGAUACCGGAGAGCAAAAAACUUAUUCUAGAAUUGAGGAGGAAUAUUGUCUUACCUCUUUGAUUAUCGAAAUGGUAUAGAGAAUGGAUUAUAGACAGUCGUUUUGAUUAGUGUUGGUGAGAAGAUUAUUAUUUGCUGGAGUAGAAACUGUUUAAUAUGAUUCUUAGGCGAUAAUAGAACUAUAAUCCUCUUCUUGAUUUUAGCAAGAAACACCAAGCCUCUGAUAACUGCCUGGUUUUUGCAGAUGUACAAUGAUAUAAACCAUUCUGCUUUUGUUUGGGGAGCGUUUGUUUUAGCCGGAGUUGCUAUCAUUGCUGCUGCUGUGGGUUACUGGCGUAGGAAUAAGUACGAAGAUGGAUACCAACCAAUUAUGAUCUGAACUUGUUCUUAUGAGGCUUAGCCAUGUGUAUUAGACAGAAAUAAUGUUAGCUCUGUAUCAUAUGUUCUGAAACUCUCGUUUCCCUUUGCUAGAUGAGCGUGAAUAAACAGAUGAGCGUGAAUAAACCCGGGAGACUCACAGUCUUGCCCAAUAUUAUUUCUAUUACUGUUGUUAGUAAUUGGAACUGAGUGAUUAAUGUGAGCCUCUGUUGGACUUUAUGGCCAUUUCUUUCAUUUUCUCUACGACUCCUGUAGCUGCUUGUGUUCAACGCUAUUUUCACAUUUGUAAGGGACCUGUCCAAAAUUCAAAGCAUUAUUGGGUCGCUAUUUCCUGUGGCAGCUGCCAAGUUUGAGUAUCUUCGACUUAGAGGAACCACAUAUGUUACUUUUUUUUGAAAAAAAAAUUCAUUUCAUGUUUUUAGUCUGCAUGUGUGUUAUUUAAUAAUAAUCGUUGAAAGAACUGUUUUAAAUAUUUUACUUCAUCAUAGUUUCUCCUACAAUUAUGGAUCUCUGUUUCCUAGUUUUCCCCUUCUCAAACGAUCUAUAUACACGGUAAGCUCAAAGUAUGCAUGCUUCGUCAUAUAUUUAACACAAGUGUGCAUAUUGCAACUAAUAUUUUGGGAUGCAUCACACAAUAAUUUUACAAUAUAUCCAUCGUGCUUUGUGACAUUACCUUUGACUUUAUCAAUUGCAUUGUUACCAGAGAUAGUGCAUUAUUAACUAUGAUACUGUAAAGAAUUCAAUUUGAAAUCAAAUUAACAAUCGACAAUGAAUCAUAAUAUGGUCAAAUAAAAAAUAAAGAGAUACGUACUAGCUUUGAAAUGGGAAAAUAAAUAAUGAACGAAUGAUUUAGUUUUUUUUUUUCCAAAUUCUCUUUUAUGUUUAUUACUGUUGGGUUGCCCCUCUGGAAAAAUUCAUAGGUCCGGUUCAGAAAUGCAAAAUACAAUAGUAAUCACAUGGGGGUUUAAUGCAAAUAUGCAGUGAAGGAGGCACUAUGCAGAUUGUCAAUGAAUAAUGGGAAGAUGAAAUUUACGUAUAAAGGUGAACUAUUGGCACCCUUUGCGUAUCUUUUGAAACCCCUUUUCUUUAUCUAUCUCAUUAUAAUUAUUUGAAAAUUAUAAAACUCUCAUGGCAUCGUUUUAGUUUAAAAAAUAACCUUAAUUUCUUGUUGAGUUUACACCCCCUUCUUUCUCUUCACAUCUCUCUCCCCCUCAUUUGCUUACCAUUCUUUCCUCUCUCUUUCUCUUCCACUAUGAGUUCUCUCCGUCGUCAACUCUUUUUAUGGUGAUGAACAAAUUGGACUUUAUGACCAUAACAUUAUAAUUAUUAAUAUAUAUAUAUAUAUAUAUAAUAAUAAUAAUAAUAAUAAUAAAGAUUCAAUGAGAAUGAUGCAAUUGAUUGGUAUUCUUGAUUUUUUUUUUUUUGCUUCUUUAACUAAACUUAAAAGUUUCAUUACUAACCACAACAACAAUAUGAAAGAAAUUAGAAUGUUGCCGAAUUUAUUUUUUGUAAUUGUUUUAUUUUUCUAAAUUAAUUCGGAUGGGGACGAAGGCAAAUGGAAGAGAACAAUAAAAAUCAUUGGCUCUGAAAAUAUUUUUCUGUAGGAUGCCCUGCCUUCUGAAACCUCCUCAACGUUAAAUCUAUAUAUAUAUAUAUAUAUAUAUAUAUAUAGAGUCAGAGUUCAAAUUUUGUGCUUUAACUGCCGUUGCUUUGUGGAAGUCAUUUCUCCGCACCCCCUUCAUUUCUCCUUCGCAUAUCCACCUCCUGCCUUCAAGUGAUUUUUGUGGGACCAAAAUCUAAUUGUUUCAUUUUUUUUUAAAUUAUCCUCGUUCAAAUCAUAAUUAAUUUUUAUUAUUUUAAAUUUUAUUAUUUUUAUUAAAUUUUAUUAAUUUAGUUAUUAUUAAUUAUUGUUAUUAUUAUUUUUAUUAAUAUUAUCAUUAUUAACAAUUAUUGUUAUUAUUAUUGUCAAAAUUUAUUAAUUUUAUUAUUUUAAAUGUCAUUAUUAUUAUUAACUUUAUUAUUUUAGUUAUUAUUAAUUAUUGUUGUUAUUAUUUUAUUAAUAUUAUCAUUAUUAACAAUUAUUAUUAUUAUUAUUAUUGUUAUUGUUAUUAUCAUUAUUAUCAAAAUUUAUUAUUUUAAAUGUCAUUAUUAUUAUUAUUAUUAUUGACUUUAUUAUUUUAGUUAUUAUUAAUUGUUAUUAUUAUCAUUAUUAACAAUUUAUUAUUAUUAUUAUCAUUAUUAUUAUCAAAAUUUAUUAAAUUUAUUAUUUUAAAUGUCAUUAUAUUAUUAUUAUUAUUAUUGACUAUAUUAUUUUAGUUAUUAUUAAUUAUUUUUAUUUUUAUUAUUAUCAUUAUUAACAAUUUAUUAUUAUUAUUAUUAUUAUUAUUAUUAUUAUUAUUAUUAUUAUCAUCAUCAUCAAAAUUUAUUAAAUAUAUUAUUUUAAAUAUCAUUAUUAUUAUUAUUGACUAUAUUAUUUUAGUUAUUAUUUUUAUUUUUAUUAAUAUUAUCAUUAUUAACAUUUAUUAUUAUUAUUAAUUUUAUUUUUUUAAUUAAUAGCAUUUUUAUAAUAAUAUUUAUACAUGUAUCUAGUUGAUGAAAAUUGCAUUAUUUAAUACUAUGGAUAUUUUGGUAAAUUGAUUCUCAUUUCUAUUCCGCAUUCCCAUUUAUUUUGUCAAGUAAACACAUCAAUGACAUUCCAGCACAUUUCUAUUUCUAUUUAUUUUUGGCAAUCAAACAUUUCAUCUCAUUUUCAUUCCUCAUUCUCAUUCUAUGAAAUAAACGAACCAUUAUUUCUUAAUUUUUCAUUUCCGUCAAAUUUCUAAUUCAGUUAGUCACACAAAUAAAAUUACUUACUUGAAAAUCACUCCCAAAUGUACAAUGAACUUAUUUGUAGGAGCUGGCUGAGUUACAUAUUCUGUAACUUACAGAUCCAACUCCUAUUGCCUGCAUUUACACAGUUUUUCUCUCUCCUCAGGACACGUGUGUUGCUUCCCAUUGGGUGUGUACGUUACAGAUUCUGUAACGUAGGUUGGUCCCUUAUUUGUAAUGUUGUCUAUUAUUAUAGUUUAUCACUAUUAUUCCUAUCAAUCUGAGACUCUCCGUAGCACGCAACUCCCAACCGAUUUAUUUAAACGUGCUGCCAAACAACGACUCGCAUAAGAUAAAGGGAAGAACAAUCAAGAAUCAUCACUCCAUUAUCUAAUUUUUCAUGCCGUAGCCAGAACGCUUUACUAAGUAGCGACUUAAGGUCGAUGGAAGAACAAUCAAGCUGAUAUGACUAGUUUGUCAUUAUUGCUUUUCUUGACUACCACAAGAUCUAUAUCGAGGGAGGUGCUACCUUAAAUUUAAGGUACAGCUCUCUCUAAGAACCACUGCUGUAGGGAGAGUUGUACCUUAAGAUAAACUUAAGGUAGGCAAAACCUUUUGUCGGUGUCUCCAACUUUCAAUUUCUUCAACAUUUAGCUUUCCUGGAAGCAAUUAUACACACUCUACUGAUGCGACAAAAGGUGCCAAAAAAAAAAAAAAAAACUGCCCGUUGCGUCACUGCUUAGGUCAUUCUAAACCUUCAGUUCUCUGUCUGUAGUCUAUCACUUGGUGCAAAAUAGUCAAGUUCUCACGUUUUAGACGGCACGUUAAUCGGACACGCGGCUGAUCCUGUCCUUAACAGGCCAUUUUUAUUAGGCCACCUACCUUAUUACAAUGAAUGUAAAGUAUAUCUUCUUACAAAUUGAGUUGUAGGACUCAUUUGGACCCACAGCCAAUAAAGAGGAUGUACCUUACAAUCAUUGUAAGGUAGCAGCUCCCUAUUAUAUUAGUUACUUCAUUUGUGAAUGUAAUGAGAAAGAACUAAGGCGACGCACCCUCGCAGGAGCUGAAACUUUCAGUCUAUCACAGUCUGAAAAGGCCGUUGACCAUGCAAUCUGCGUACGUUGUUUGUUCUCAAAUUUGAUCGUUUGUUUUCAUUUUUCGUUCAUGUCAAGUUUCUGUAUUUGUACACAAUUAAAUGAUCACUCAUUCGCAGGUUUUGCUUUUACCUGACGCUCUUCAAUAGUUUUAUUCACUCUAGUAUUUGCGAUAUAUCUUUCUGCUUGAUGACCCAAGUUGCAUGUGAACGGAUUAGCUAUUCAUUUUACUUUGUUAAUCAGUCAAAUAUCAUAGACCCCAUCUGUUAUUACAGCAGUGAUUGCUAGGAACAGUUGAGAGUCUUUUCAAACUUUUCCAAACAUGUGUCCAAAUAGAUUGAGCUUGUACGUGAGAUAGCUGGAUUUUAUUUGCUUACAAACCUUUUUUGGGAUUAUUUAAAAAUUACAAUUACUGAUCUGGUUUCGGAUACACGAGAGUUUUUUGCUAUUAUCCAAUUUAUUUUGGUUGGAGCACGUUUUAACUGACACAAAGCCGGAAAUACCAGUUCAAUCUCAGUAACCUCUAUAAUUUGUCUCAAAUACAUUGUGUUUAGUUAUUCAUGUUCUUGGAUUUCCAAUUUCAUUUAUGGCUUAACUGAUAUAAGAAAGCUGACAGGGAUAUGAGAAAUUUUUCUCAAGGAUGGAAGAUUCUGGUAGCCAUUUUUCUGUUGGGAUUAAGCUUUCCAUACUCACAAGGUUAUAAUGUCAAAUCUAAAGUCUUUUUGUCACCUAAGUUUGUGCUGGGGCCAGGAUCCGUUGAGAAUAAAUUUUACUAUGGGAUUGACUUUCCGAGAGGUCAUAUUGCUCUAAAGAGUUUUAAUGCAGAAGUAAUUGAUGAGGCAGGAAAUCCCGUUCCUCUUCACGAGACUUAUCUCCACCAUUGGGCCGUUCAAAAAUACUAUGGACGUAAAGAUGCAGAAUUACUAGAGUAUAAUGGCAACAGACUUCUUCGUGAAUCAGAUUACAUUUCAGCGAGAAAUGAUGGCAUAUGCCAGACGAAUAUUCUUGAGCAGGAUUUUGGCCUUGGCUCUGAGACGCGAGGAACGGCAACGCAUAUUCCAGAUCCUUAUGGAUUAGAAAUUGGCAAUCCUGCUACAAUUCCUGCAGGCUAUGAAGAGAGAUGGUUUCUUAAUGUCCAUGCAAUUGAUACACGAGGUGUCGAAGAUAGGUUGGGAUGCACCGAAUGCAAGUGCGAUUUGUACAAUGUUACAUUGGAUGAGUAUGGCCAGCCACUAAAGCCAAAUUACAGAGGUGGUUUAGCGUGUUGUUACGAUGGUACGCAGUGUAGAUUGUCAAACGGUUUUGAAGGUGCCAGGAGGAGCCUCUAUUUGAGAUAUACCGUAAAGUGGGUUGAUUGGGACACUUCCAUUGUGCCUGUUAAAAUCUACAUAUUUGAUGUCACUGACAAGGAAACACGGUUUAGUGAUUCCACUGGAUUCAGCAUACAGCAUCAUUGCCAGGUAAGU
rnacentral:lncRNA from 1 species